UGCGUAGGCGGCCCUGUAAGUCAGUGCUGAAAUAUCCCGCUUAACCGGGAGGGUGGCAUUGAUACUGCGGGGCUAGAGUACAGAUGAGGUAGGCGGAAUUGACGGUGUAGCGGUGAAAUGCUUAGAUAUCGUCAAGAACACCUAUAGCGAAGGCAGCUUACUAGGCUGUAACUGACGCUGAGGCACGAAAGUGUGGGGAUCAAACAGGAUUAGAUACCCUGGUAGUCCACACUGUAAACGUUGAUUACUCGCUGUGUGCGAUAUACAGUACGCGGCCAAGCGAAAGCGCUAAGUAAUCCACCUGGGGAGUACGCCGGCAACGGUGAA
rnacentral:rRNA from 1 species